UAUAUACAAAUUUGCACUUCCAAUACACCGAACAAAAAAUGUACAUACAUCAACAUUCACUACUCCUUUCAACAAUGCUAGAACAUGAUCACUUGUUUGUCUUUCAGCAGACAAUCCUUGACCACUGGCAACCGGGGAGCUGCUGGAGAUCGCUCCUCAGCUGGCUUAGCUGUUUGUUCAUCUAAAAAAGAAAAAGGGUUACCUUUCCGUUAAUUUUAGUCUUGCAGUUACAGCCCCUCAAGUAUUUGGUCACCUAUAUUUUCUUGUUUUUUUUCACUACCUUGUUUCAUAAUUAUCCUAUGUAUUUUCUUGAAGAGUGCAGGCUUAUUCUACACCAAUUCCCCUCCAUCCUCGAGUUACCUGGCCACCGUAGCUCCUCUCCUCCCUCUUGCCGCUCCAUGUGCUAGCAUUGAAAAUGCCAAAUUAUAUUGUGUCGCAUUGUUAUGUACGUAGUUCUGAUCAAUAACACAACUACCUAAAAGCAAAUAAGAAAACCAAAGUGAAAUUGCUGGGUAAAUGUCAACAAAUCACAUACUGCUAGAUGAAUCAUAAGAAUAUGUGUACCCCAUUAUGUCUCAAAUCAUCAUAAUACAGUGAUAGGUGAUGUAUAGGGAGAUAAAAGACAUUAGCAAUAAUUAAUAAUCCUUACUGGUUAAAGAAAGAAAUUGGUCAUCUGAAAUUAUGAAUAUGAAGAUAAUGAACCCAUGAAAAUACUAACGAUUAGAAUUAUCCUUCCUUUCAAUCUCCAUCUUUACCAAACAGGAUAACCCAAAAUGAAUAGGCGAUACUUUUAACAAAAAUCUAAAAAAUUUAAGGGUAAGCUAUAGAAUAUGUUACCAUUAAGGUAGAUGUUAAUUGCAAGAACAACUUUUCGAUCAAUGCUACACUUUUGUCAUGCAUCACGUUAACAUGAGCCGCAACUUGUGGAAGAUAACAUGUGCUCAUUAUUCAUGUGCAUCCUGAUCUCCAAGUAUUAACACAAGAAAUUAUUCAGUUGUAACACACUCUAGCCAUGCCCGAAAUAUGAUUAGUGGAAUGCUCUGCUCGGUAAAUUACUACCCAGCGCAUAUUGUUUCACCAAUUUUGAACAAGUGGACUGGAUCGCUUAUCAAGUAUUUUUCAAGCGAGGAAACUAAUAUCUCAUGUGAAAAAAUGCUUUUCAGGCUUUCCUUUUACAAUACUAUAGAAACUUGGUUCUCUCACAUGUACAUAUGAACCUACUUAUGAUAAUGUUGAUCCCAACCACGUACGGAAACACUGAUUGAGAUUUACUCAAUAGGAUAGCUAAAACCUGACAGUAGUGAUUUUUUAAAUGUUAGUAGUAAUCCAGAACAAAAGAACAAGGUAAGCAAGUGAAAGAGUCAACUUAC
rnacentral:lncRNA from 1 species